GAUGAACGCUGGCGGCGUGCCUAAUACAUGCAAGUCGAGCGAACAGACGAGGAGCUUGCUCCUCUGACGUUAGCGGCGGACGGGUGAGUAACACGUGGAUAACCUACCUAUAAGACUGGGAUAACUUCGGGAAACCGGAGCUAAUACCGGAUAACAUGUUGAACCGCAUGGUUCAACAGUGAAAGACGGUCUUGCUGUCACUUAUAGAUGGAUCCGCGCCGCAUUAGCUAGUUGGUAAGGUAACGGCUUACCAAGGCAACGAUGCGUAGCCGACCUGAGAGGGUGAUAGGCCACACUAGAACUGAGACACGGUCCAGACUCCUACGGGAGGCAGCAGUAGGGAAUCUUCCGCAAUGGGCGAAAGCCUGACGGAGCAACGCCGCGUGAGUGAAGAAGGUCUUCGGAUCGUAAAGCUCUGUUAUUAGGGAAGAACAAAUGUGUAAGUAACUAUGCACGUCUUGACGGUACCUAAUCAGAAAGCCACGGCUAACUACGUG
rnacentral:rRNA from 1 species